rnacentral:rRNA from 1 species
UUAAGAAAGCAAGAGCGCACGGUGGAUGCCUAGGCACUAAUAGGCGAAGAAGGACGCGACUAACAGCGAAAUGCUACGGGGAGCAGUAAGUAGGCAAAGAUCCGUAGGUAUCCGAAUGGGGAAACCCACUAGUUAGAAGAGCUAGUAUCGUAUAAUGAAUACAUAGUUAUACGAGGCGAACCCGGGGAACUGAAACAUCUAAGUACCCGGAGGAAAAGAAAACAAAAGUAAUUCCCUAAGUAGAGGCGAUUGAAAGGGGAGGAGCCCAGCACCAAGAAGAGUUAGAAAAUCUUUUUAUAGUAGAAUUGUAUUGGAAAAGCAAGACAAAGAAGGUGAAAUCCCUGUAUACGAAAUAAAGAGAUCUCGGUGUCGGAGUAGGGCGGAGCACGAGGAAUUCUGUCUGAAGAAGUGAGGACCAUCUCAUAAGGCUAAAUACUCAUUAGUGACCGAUAGUGAACCAGUACUGUGAAGGAAAGGUGAAAAGAACCCCUGGCGGGGAGUGAAAAGAACCUGAAACCGUGUGCUUACAAACAGUUAGAGCCCGUCAAAGGGUGAUAGCGUGCCUUUUGUAGAAUGAGCCGGCGAGUUACGUUAAUGUGCGAGGUUAAGUUUUAAGGGACGGAGCCGAAGCGAAAGCGAGUCUGAAGAGGGCGGAAUAGUAGAUUGACGUAUACCCGAAACCGGGUGAUCUAGCCAUGAGCAGGUUGAAGCUUGGGUAAAACCAGGUGGAGGACCGAACCAGGGUCUGUUGAAAAAGACUUGGAUGACUUGUGGCUAGGGGUGAAAUUCCAAUCGAACCCGGAGAUAGCUGGUUCUCCCCGAAAUAGCUUUAGGGCUAGCGUUAUGGAGAAGAGUUAUACGAAGGUAGAGCACUGAAUGGGUGAGGGCCUCAUCUCGAGGUACUGAUCUCAAUCAAACUCCGAAUGUCGUAUAAUAUACAUAGCAGUAAGACUAUGGGUGAUAAGGUUCAUAGUCAAAAGGGAAACAGCCCAGACCGCCAGUUAAGGUCCCAAAAUUAUGCUAAGUGGGAAAGGAGGUGGAGUCGCAUAGACAACUAGGAGGUUGGCUUAGAAGCAGCCAUCCUUUAAAGAGUGCGUAAUAGCUCACUAGUCGAGUGAUUCUGCGCCGAAAAUGUAUCGGGGCUAAGCAUAAUACCGAAGCUGCGGAAUUAGGAAAGAAAGCCUAAUUGGUAGGGGAGCGUACUAAACACGAAGAAGGUUGACCGGGAGGGCAGCUGGAGAGUUUAGCAGUGAGAAUGCCGGUGUGAGUAGCGAUAAGAUGGGUGAGAAUCCCAUCCGUCGGAAGCCUAAGGGUUCCAGGGGUAAGGCUCGUCCGCCCUGGGUAAGUCGGGACCUAAGGUGAGGCCGAAAGGCGUAGCUGAUGGAUAUCAGGUUGAUAAUCCUGGACCACCAUAGAGCUGAAGGAGUGACGGAGGAGGGAAGUUAGGAUGGACUGGUGGAAUAGUCUAAUGAAGCACAAAGAGGGAUACGUAGGAAAAACCGCGUAUUAGAACCUUGAAGUGUAAACCGCAAGGCCUAAUGGACCACACUUCCAAGAAAAGCUUCUAGGAAUACUUUAUGGUGCCCGUACCGUAAACGGACACACGUAGGCGAGGAGAGAAUCCAAAGACGCGCGAGAUAAUUCUUGUUAAGGAACUCUGCAAAAUGACCCUGUAACUUCGGGAUAAAGGGGACUCUAGAGAUAGAGGCGCAGAAAAUAGGCCCAAGCGACUGUUUAACAAAAACAUAGGUUUCUGCUAAAGCGAAAGCUGAUGUAUAGGAGCUGACGCCUGCCCAGUGCUGGAAGGUUAAGAGGAGAUGUAAGUCGCAAGGCAAAGCAUUGAAUUGAAGCCCCAGUAAACGGCGGCCGUAACUAUAACGGUCCUAAGGUAGCGAAAUUCCUUGUCAGGUAAGUUCUGACCCGCACGAAAGGCGUAACGAUUUGGGCGCUGUCUCAACAAGAAACUCGGUGAAAUCAUAGUACCUGUGAAGAUGCAGGUUACCCGCGAUCAGACGGAGAGACCCCAUGGAGCUUCACUGCAGCUUAAUAUUGAUAUUGGGUGUGUGAUGUACAGGAUAGGUGGGAGACGAGGAAGCGAGUACGCUAGUAUUCGUGGAGUCAACGUUGGGAUACCACCCUUCAUACAUUUAGUAUCUAACUAGUAUCCAUGAGCUGGGUAUAGAACAGUGUUAGGUGGGCAGUUUGACUGGGGCGGUCGCCUCCCAAAGAGUA